GGGGGUGUUUGGAUACGAGGUACUAAACUUUAGGAGGGUCACAUCGGAUGUUCGAACACUAAUUAGGAGGAUUAAACAUGAGCUAAUUAUAAAACUAACUGCAGAACCCCUAUACUAAUUCGCGAGACGAAUCUAUUAAGCCUAAUUAAUCCAUCAUUAGCAACUAGUUACUGUAGCACCACAUUGUCAAAUCAUGGAC
rnacentral:lncRNA from 1 species